rnacentral:rRNA from 1 species
GUGAGUAAUAUUGGUCAAUGGGCGCAAGCCUGAACCAGCCAUGCCGCGUGCAGGAAGACGGUCCUAUGGAUUGUAAACUGCUUUUAUUUGGGAAUAAACUCCGGUACGUGUACCGGCCUGAAGGUACCAAAUGAAUAAGCACCGGCUAACUCCGUGCCAGCAGCCGCGGUAAUACGGAGGGUGCAAGCGUUAUCCGGAAUCAUUGGGUUUAAAGGGUCCGCAGGCGGUCUUAUAAGUCAGUGGUGAAAGCCUACAGCUCAACUGUAGAACUGCCAUUGAUACUGUAGGACUUGAAUUCGAUCGAAGUGGGCGGAAUGUGACAUGUAGCGGUGAAAUGCUUAGAUAUGUCACAGAACACCGAUAGCGAAGGCAGCUCACUAGGUCUGGAUUGACGCUCAGGGACGAAAGCGUGGGGAGCAAACAGGAUUAGAAACCCGUGUAGUCC